rnacentral:rRNA from 1 species
GCGUUAUUCGGAAUUAUUGGGCGUAAAGCGUCUGUAGGUGGUAAGGAAAGUGUAAUGUUAAAGAUCAGGGCUCAACCCUGGGAAAGCAUUGCAAACUAUCUUACUUGAGUUCGGUAGGGGCAGAGAGAAUUCCCAGUGUAGCGGUGAAAUGCGUAGAUAUUGGGAGGAAGACCAGUGGCGAAGGCGUUCUGCUGGGCCGUAACUGACACUCAGAGACGAAAGCUAAGGUAGCAAAUAGGAUUAGAUACCCUAGUAGUCUUAGCUGUAAACGAUGCACACUAUGUUUUGCAAUUUGCAGAGCAAUAGCUAACGCGUUAAGUGUGCCGCCUGGGGAGUACAUUCGCAAGGAUGAAACUCAAAGGAAUUGACGGGGACCCGCACAAGCGGUGGAGCAUGUGGUUUAAUUCGAUGCAACGCGAAGAACCUUACCAAGAAUUGACAUGCUGCGAACGUUUACGAAAGUAAAAAGUCUAUUAACUUAGUUAAUAGCGCAGACACAGGUGGUGCAUGGUUGUCGUCAGCUCGUGCCGUGAGGUGUUAGGUUAAGUCCUGCAACGAGCGCAACCCUUGUCUUUAGUUAUAUUCUAGAGAGACUGCCGGUGAUAAACCGGAGGAAGGUGAGGAUGACGUCAAAUCAGCAUGCCCCUUACAUCUUGGGCGACUCACGUGCUACAAUGGUCGGGACAAAGAGAUGCUACCCUGCGAAGGCAAGCUAACCUCAAAAACCCGAU